rnacentral:rRNA from 1 species
AUGUGCAUCCCAAAGAAGAAUGGACGCAUGGGGUUUAGAGACCUACACAGUUUCAAUCUUGCUUUAUUAGCAAAACAGUGUUGGCGACUACUCCAGAACCCUGAAUCUUUGUGUGCACUGGUCCUUAGUGCAAAAUAUUAUCCGAACGGUAACAUUCUUAAUGCGGGACCAAAGAAAGGCUCCUCUUUUACUUGGCAGAGCAUUGUGAUGGGCAUACAAAUUUUUAAGGGAGGAUGUAUCUGGCGGGUGGGCAGAGGCUCACAUAUAAAUAUUUGGAAUGAUCCUUGGAUUCCAACGAGCGAGUCACGGAAAGUUAUCACACCUAGAGGAGCUACGGUGUUGGGGAAAGUAGAAGAAUUGAUAGACCCGCAUUCAGGCAAGUGGGAUGAAGAGUUGCUGCGAUCAGUUUUCAAUCCAGUAGAUGUCUACAGAAUUUUGCAAAUCCCACUUCGGGUGGAGAUGUUGGAGGAUUUCAUAGCGUGGCAUCAUACAAAAUCUGGAUCAUUCUUAGUCAGAUCAGCAUACCAUGUUGAGUUUGAUCAUCAAUAUGGGAAACAAUGGAAUAGGACGGAUGGUCAAGGAAGUCAUCGAGAAAAUGAUAUAUGGAAACAUAUCUGGAGGAUGUGAAUUCCUGGAAAAAUAAAACACUUUAUUUGGAAAGUUCUCAGGGGCGUCCUACCGUGUCGAGGGAUAUUGGCAGGGAGGCACAUACCAACGUCAGCACAAUACCCGAUCUGUGUAGUAGGUAUGGAGGACUCCCAACACUGCUUGUUUACAUGCCAAAGGGCCCUGAGUGUCUGGACCCAGCUUGGGGUAAGGGAGGAAGUAGAAUGUGCUGUUGCCGUAGACCGAUUAGGUGCAAUCACAAUGGAGGUUCUAAUGAGACGCCAGGCAAUGGUGGGUGACCUCCCCUUGGUGGAGCUUAUGGCGGUGGGCAGUUGGUAUAUCUGGUGGCAGCACAGGCAAUAUGUAAAAGGAGAGGAGAUAAGAUCGCAUGUACGUACUGUUAUUUCGAUCAAAGUAUUGGCCACAAAUUUUGUGCGGGCUGAAACCCCAAAUCAAUCUACCCGGGGACGUGAUCACAUGUCGAAAAAGCCAACAAAUUGA